rnacentral:rRNA from 1 species
UACGUAGGGUGCAAGCGUUGUCCGGAAUUAUUGGGCGUAAAGAGCUCGUAGGCGGUUUGUCGCGUCUGCUGUGAAAACUCAGGGCUUAACCCUGAGCCUGCAGUGGGUACGGGCAGACUAGAGUGUGGUAGGGGAGAUCGGAAUUCCUGGUGUAGCGGUGGAAUGCGCAGAUAUCAGGAGGAACACCGGUGGCGAAGGCGGAUCUCUGGGCCUUACCUGACGCUGAGGAGCGAAAGCAUGGGGAGCAAACAGG